GAGGGUGUGGCUCAGAGGUAGAGUACAUGCUUAGCGUGCAUGAGGUCCUGGGUUUAAUCUCGGGUGCCUCCA
rnacentral:tRNA from 1 species